UCACGCACAGGGCAAACCAGACUGAAAAGCUGGGACGCAAAGCCACCGGCCUAAACAUCAUUGUCAUCGACAAUAUGCAUGGUAGCGGGGUUGCCGAU
rnacentral:ncRNA from 1 species